rnacentral:rRNA from 1 species
GGGCCUACACAAGCGGUGGAGUAUGUGGCUUAAUUCGAUGCAACGCGAAGAACCUUACCUGGCCUUGACAUGCAUCUCUAAGCGUGUGAAAGCACGUGACCCUUCGGGGAAUUUGCACAGGUGCUGCAUGGCUGUCGUCAGCUCGUGUCGUGAGAUGUUGGGUUAAGUCCCGCAACGAGCGCAACCCUUGUGUCCUGUUGCCACUUCCGCUAGCGCGGAAAGCACUCUGGACAGACUGCCUCGUCUCAACGAGGAGGAAGGUGGGGAUGACGUCAAGUCAGUAUGGCCCUUACGGCCAGGGCUGCACACGUACUACAAUGCCUGGUACAAUGGGAAGCAAUACCGCAAGGUGGAGCGAAUCCCAAAAGCCGGUCUCAGUUCGGAUUGAGGUCUGCAACUCGACCUCAUG